UGGCUCAGUGGUAGAGUGCUUGCCUCUCAUGCAUGAGACCCUGGGUUCGAUUCUCAG
rnacentral:tRNA from 1 species